rnacentral:rRNA from 1 species
GGUGAGUAAUGCCUAGGAAAUUGCCUUGAUGUGGGGGAUAACCAUUGGAAACGAUGGCUAAUACCGCAUAAUGCCUACGGGCCAAAGAGGGGGACCUUCGGGCCUCUCGCGAUUGGAGCGGCCGAUGUUAGAUUAGGUAGUUGGUGGGGUAAAGGCUCACCAAGCCAACGAUCUAUAGCUGGUCUGAGAGGACGACCAGCCACACUGGAACUGAGACACGGUCCAGACUCCUACGGGAGGCAGCAGUGGGGAAUUUUGGACAAUGGGCGAAAGCCUGAUCCAGCAAUACCGCGUGCAGGAAGAAGGCCCUCGGGUUGUAAACUGCUUUUGUACGGAACGAAACGGCGCGCUCUAAUAAAGUGCGCUAAUGACGGUACCGUAAGAAUAAGCACCGGCUAACUACGUGCCAGCAGCCGCGGUAAUACGUAGGGUGCAAGCGUUAAUCGGAAUUACUGGGCGUAAAGCGUGCGCAGGCGGUUUUGUAAGACAGGCGUGAAAUCCCCGGGCUUAACCUGGGAAUUGCGCUUGUGACUGCAAGGCUAGAGUACGGUAGAGGGGGGUAGAAUUCCGCGUGUAGCAGUGAAAUGCGUAGAUAUGCGGAGGAACACCGAUGGCGAAGGCAGCCCCCUGGACCUGUACUGACGCUCAUGCACGAAAGCGUGGGGAGCAAACAGGAUUAGAUACCCUGGUAG